rnacentral:rRNA from 1 species
UACGUAGGGUGCAAGCGUUGUCCGGAAUUAUUGGGCGUAAAGAGCGUGUAGGCGGCCCGGUUAGUCCGCUGUGAAAGUCCAGGGCUCAACCCUGGAAUGCCGGUGGAUACUGUCGGGCUAGAGUCCGGAAGGGGCGAGUGGAAUUCCUGGUGUAGCGGUGAAAUGCGCAGAUAUCAGGAGGAACACCGGUGGCGAAGGCGGCCUGCUGGGCAGUAGCUGACACUGAGGCGCGACAGCGUGGGGAGCAAACAGG